rnacentral:misc_RNA from 1 species
AAGUCGUAACAAGGUUUCCGUAGGUGAACCUGCGGAAGGAUCAUUAUUGAAAUAAAACACAGGCAAGGGGGGGAGGUGGUUGUAGCUGGCCUCUAGGGGCAUGUGCACACUGUCUUUUACUUGCUUGUCUUUCAUUCUUUCCACUUGUGCACUGCUUGUAGGCAGCUUGGCACUGUUCAGGUUGUCUAUGAUUUUCUUUACAAACAUGAAUUGCUGUUGUACAGAAUGAAAUAAAAAAAAGAUUAAAUACAACUUUCAACAACGGAUCUCUUGGCUCUC